UGGCCUUGACAUACUAAGAACUUUCCAGAGAUGGAUUGGUGCCUUCGGGAACUUAGAUACAGGUGCUGCAUGGCUGUCGUCAGCUCGUGUCGUGAGAUGUUGGGUUAAGUCCGCAACGAGCGCAACCCUUUUCCUUAUUUGCCAGCGGGUAAUGCCGGGAACUUUAAGGAUACUGCCAGUGACAAACUGGAGGAAGGCGGGGACGACGUCAAGUCAUCAUGGCCCUUACGGCCAGGGCUACACACGUGCUACAAUGGUCGGUACAAAGGGUUGCUACCUCGCGAGAGGAUGCUAAUCUCAAAAAGCCGAUCGUAGUCCGGAUCGCAGUCUGCAACUCGACUGCGUGAAGUCGGAAUCGCUAGUAAUCGCGGAUCAGAAUGCCGCGGUCGAAUACGUUCCCGGGCCUUGUACACACCGCCCGUCACACCAUGGGAGUUUGUUGCACCAGAAGUAGGUAGUCUAACCACAAGGAGGACGCUUACCACGGUGUGGCCGAUGACUGGGGUGAAGUCGUAACAAGGUAGGCGUAGAUGA
rnacentral:rRNA from 1 species